CAAUCCUACGGGGCGCAGCAGUAGGGAAUUUUCGUCAAUGGGCGCAAGCCUGAACGAGCGAUGCCGCGUGAGUGAAGAAGGCCUUCGGGUCGUAAAGCUCUGUUGCGGGGGAAAAAAGGCAGCAUCAGGAAAUGGGUGCUGACUGAUGGUGCCCCGCCAGAAAGUCACGGCUAACUACGUGCCAGCAGCCGCGGUAAUACGUAGGUGGCGAGCGUUAUCCGGAAUGAUUGGGCGUACAGGGUGAGCAGGCGGUGCUGCCAGUCUGGAGUGAAACGCAUAGGCUCAACUCAUGCAUGGCUUUGGAA
rnacentral:rRNA from 1 species